UGAUGUGUAGGUCCUCGCCCAGGAUCCAAAUCCAUGAACGCUGGGCCACUGAUGCAGAGCAUGUGAACUUAACCACUACACCACUGGGCCAGCCCUCUAAAACUAAUUUCAACAGCCGGUUUGGGAGAGCCUUCUGUGGGCCAGCACCACAGCAGGUGCCCUGGAGGAGGAAGGGGUAGGCCUGCUGCCUGGAGCUGCAUGUGGGGCAACCCUCAAGGUGGUAGGUGGUCACGGAUGCUCUAAAGGUAGUACCAGGCUGGGUUGUGAGAAGAGGCAGAAGUAGUCAUGAGCAAUGCCUUUGAUUCCUUUGCUGAAAUACAGUGAUGCUCAUGUGAUAUCUUAGGAGUAUGUGUUGGUGCCAGAUAGACCUAGUCUUGUUAUCUCUUGUUUUAGUUUAUUUCUUUGUUUAAUGGGAAACAACAGUCAAGGCUUGUUGGAAUCUGAGCAUGGGUUUGAGAUGUUCUCACAUGAAUAAACAUUAUGAACUUUGUUGCGUAAAGGUUGCGACUUAUAUUUUGGGUGCUUAUUCAACAAACAUGUUGUGGGCUAGUCCCCAGUUCUCAGAAUUGACAUUUUUGCAGAUGAGGUUUGCAAAUAAGGAGACUGCCCGGCAGAGUUGUUCCUUCCCAUUUUAUUAAACCGCUCUUCUGAUUGUCUUUAAGGGAGGUGGCUGAGAACCAGGAAGAUGCAGGGCCUGGAACCAGCUGACCUGGUGUGACUCUCGCCCUGUGGUGAUCAGGGGCCCAUCCCUCAAACCUCUAAGCUUGGUCAUUUUCAUCUGUAUACCAGGCCCACCAAGUACCUUAUGCCGGUGGUGAAGAUUCAGGGUGUGAUACAGGUGAAUGCUCGGUGCACCUGGGCCCUAAGUUUGUGUGGAGUGUACACUGCAACAAGUAGGCACUUUUGGUUUAGAAUCUGGCUGUGAGGUUUCGAGUGCAUCGCAGGUCACUGGAAGACCUCUGCUGGCCUGCCUCUUGGACUGGCUCCCUUCCCUACCACAAGAGUGACAUUUUAGGAAAGCUGCUAAAAUGUUCUCCUUUCAUUUCAUUCUUUUCUAUGCCAUAACCUCUUAGAUUUGUUUCUUGCAACUCUCGUAAGGGUGAAGAAGACAAUUCAGAAUAAAUGUUUGGCCCUGAAGCUGUUUGGGCCGCUUCGUGACACCCUAUGGAGAUAUGAGGACUUGGCUGCUGUGAGGAGCAGUGAGAAAAUGUGGGGGAAGGUGCUCGUCAACUUUGAGACACUCCACGAAGCCAAGCACACAGGUCUCUACCAUCCAUGUGGCCGUACCCCUCCCAGACGGGACGCUGGCCACAGAGGGGGCCACAUGGGAUUCACUGGAAGUUGUGUCUUUAUUUUUUUUAACUUACCUGAUUCACCCAGUUAUGUCCUUAUCUUUGUUUUUAGACUGACCCAGUUCACCAGAUGUGGGAUUUGGAGUGUACAGAAGUCCUCCCGCCCCCACUUCUUUAUUGCCCUCCUCCCAGACAUGACACUCUUGCCUACCUCUGGAAGGUCGUGGCAUGCUGGUCUGUGCUUUGUCUUCCUGAUCCAGUCCCAACAGCCACCUAAUAGGAGGGAAUUCCUUGCCCCUUCCCACCUGCCCCCUCCCUUGUUCCUCCGGCCCCACCUGACCACACGUUUCCUGAAAUAGAGAGCCUUUGGAUGGUUUUGCCUUUUCCUUAGUACCUGUCACAGUGUCCCAACAUAGAGGGUCUCACUAGACAGGAAUACAGUGAGGGGCUGAGGAGAGAGACCCCAGCCCGUGUUUGUGAGAUGCUGUCCCACAGAGCCGCUGGUGCUGCAGGGCGACCAGUCAGACAUGGGAGGGAUGCCUCCCACGGUGUCUUCAGGUUGGAGUCCCUGUCCUGCUCUAGUUUUGUAAACAUAUUUCUUUUAAAAAACAAACUUUUUAUUGAAAUUUAAGAUACAUACAGAAAAGUGCACAUAGUGUAAGCUUAGAGCCUUAGGGUCCUCACAGACAACGCCCAGGUGAAAUGGAAAACAUUGAGGAUGUAGUAGCAAGUGUUUGGGACUUAAGCUUGAUCAGUGGCUGCCCUGGGCUCAUAUGUGAGUGGUUAUGUAGUUGAUAGUUUUUUUAACUGACACUGGAGAUUUCUAGCUGAGUGUUGUCCCUCUGAUUCAUGGGUGAGUCCGCCACUUGGCGGGAGGAAAUUCACAAUGUGGCAGGUGUGGGGAGACCUUUGUAUACCCUCCUGGGCUCCUCCUGACAACUGAGAAGUUCUUGGCUUGACGUUGUUGAUUUCAGCCAGACAGUAAGCACGCAGGCCAGUCAAGGAGGCGGCGCACGCUUCGGGAGUCCUGAGUCCAUGGUGGUCUCCACCCAGCCAUUCUCUUCUUCCUGCAUGGAGGCACUGCAAAAAUUAGACAUUCCUUCGAGGGCCUCAGGUCAGACACUGAGUUAGCCUAUGGGAAUGAAGUGGUAUUCAAAACAGCAGCCCAUCCACAGGAGCUGGAGGCAGUGGCUGUGCACAGCUGUGCAGUGUGGGCACUGGUGGCCUUGGUCAGUCAUCUUGAUGAGGCCAGCGAGUCAGCUCUAUAUAGGAGCUACUUGAGUUCACGGGGCAUGGGGGAAGGCAUGUGCAAAGGCAUAGAGGUUUAAAAUAAUUGCUCUUCAGACCUCUAAUUCCAUAGACUCAUUUUCCCUGUUUUGAGCUGUGGAAUUAUAUUGUAUGUUCUCUUUUUUUGCUGAGCACUAUGUGAGAGGGACAGUGGUCCACUCCCUGUCGGUGCUGUGUUCCUCCUACUGCCCAGAUAUACAGGCCUUCUCUCCUCCUUCCGUCCUGAUGCUCAGCUAGGCACUUCCAGGUCCCUGCUGUCACCCACAGUGCCACUGUGAACAUGGCAUAUGUGUCCUUUGCUGGACUAUGCAGGCCUUUCUGUUGGGUGUGUCCCUGGGGUGGAAUUGCUGCGUCAUAGAGUGUGCAUUCAGCUCUAGUAGUUUGGGUACCAAGGUUGUGGUGGCUUCAUAGUUGUGAAGUGUUUCCCCAUUUUCUGUCUUUUGGAAGAGUUUGUAAUAUUGGUGCCAAUUAUUCCUUAAGCGUUUGGUAGAGUCCACUAAUGAACUCUUUGUUUUCUUUGUAGAAAGUUUUUACCUCCUGUAUUCUAUUUCUUUUGUAGUUCUAGAACUGUUCAGACUUUUCUAUUUUGUAAGUUGUGUUUUUCUAGAUGUUUGUCAGUUUGCACUAUAUUUUCAAAGUUUUGGCAUAAAGUUUUGCAUGAUAUCCUGUUUCUUUUUUAGUGUCCAUAGGAUCUGUAGUGAUUUCUCCUUUUCCAUUCCUGAUGUUAGUUAUUUAUAGCCUCUCUCUUUUUUUUCUUCAACAACCCUAUCAAUUUUAUUAGUCUUUGCAAAGAACUGUUGGCUUCAUUGAUCCUCAAUACUGUAUUUUUUUUUCUCUUUCACUAGUUUCUGUUCUUUAUUUUGUAUUUUCUUCUAAUUUAAGGGGGCUUAACUUCUUCUUACUGUCAGCUCUUGAGUUGCAUGCGUAGAUCACUGAUUUUUUCCUGUUCCCAUGUAUACAUCUAAGAUGAGAAAAAUGCCUUUUCAGCUGCUUCCUACAAGUUUAGAUUUGUGAUUUUUUUCUUUAACAUUAAGUUCAAAAUAUUUUCUAAUUUCUAUUGUGAUCCCUGCUUUGACCAAUGGACUAUUUAGUUUUUAAUCCUUUUUAAUAGGCAUUUAAAAAAAAUUAGUUUCUAGCUUAAACCCACUGUGCUCAAGGGACAGACUCUCUGUGAUUUCAGACCUUCAACGUUUGUUGAGACUUGCUCUUUGGUCCUGCAUGUGGCUGAUUUUGGUGAAGACUUUUUGUGCUUGAAAACCAUGUUUAUUCUCACUGGGGCAGUGUCAUACAAAUGUCAUACAAUGUAAUAAAAAUGUCAGUCAGGUCAGGUUUGUUUUUCUUGUGAACAUUAAUAAAGGAAACGUCGAGUAAAAUUGGAGUUGGGAAGGUCUGGAGAGGGAGUUCUCGGCCCUACCACGCAUCCUUGGUCGCUGACCAGGAGGAGCCGUGCCUGGCAUCUCAGACAGGAAGUUAGCUACCACUUUGCUGCCCAGGAGGGGGAAGGAAGAAUUUCUUCUUGCCCAGUGACAAGCUCAGCCAGUGGAAAACGCUGCAGCUCAGCCAGUGAGGAGCUGUCACCCUGCUCAAUUCUUACUCCCCCCAAUGAGCUUUCAUUUAGAACAGCCCCUCCCAACUCCCCUUUCUCCCUGUAAAAGAACCCCGCCUUUGUUCUCUGGACGUUGCCUAUGGUUUUUGCCAUGGCUUGCUUCUCCUGAAUUGCAAUUCCUCUGGCUAUUCUCAAAUAACCUCAUUUUGCUGGUAAGGUAACUGGCUGUUUUAUUUAAAGUUGAUGUUAAGUGGUGUUGGAAGUGGGAUCUGAAGGAGGCAACCCCCGAGAGACAGCGACCCCAGAAGCGAGUGCGAGACUGGCACUGAGGCCCCGUGCUCAUUGCGUCUGCGAGCUGCUGACUGUGAGUUCCAGCUUGGUCAGUCUCCUCAGAGUCCCAGCUCCGCUCUGCGUGUGUUUUGAGCACUCCAACUUUAUCUGGGAUUGUGAAAGGCUCUGUCCUUUCUGGUUCAAGGCUUCGUCCUUGGCAUCAUGCUUCCUCCUUGGUACGUACUCAGUUAUUUUCCUUUUGGUAGUGCACUGAAAGGCUAGGUUCCUUUUGGAAUCAGGCUAGCUGGGAAUUUUCUUUUGGUCUUGGAAAAUUUUGAGAAGUAGGAUCCCAGUCAUCUGAAUGCUCUAAGGGCAGCCCUCCUUUAGAGUCCCUGGGCUGUUUUGUGUUUAAAAACUGUAUUCCCUCUGCAUGUGCAUUUUUGACUAAAUGAACUGAUUUAACAGACUGAUUUAGAACACCAUUGGCCAUUAAGGGGAACUUUUGAUCUCCCCAAACUUGCUUUUCUCAGGACUAAAUCAGAAAGCCAUGGCUCUAAAAUAAAACAGACUGAAUGGUAUGCCUGUUUUAAUUGGCAUCUAAAGGCUUCCAGAGAUAUUUAAGACUCCAAAAUUGCCUCUUUGCAGAACACAAGUUUUAAAUUACCUGAGGUGAACAAACAGUUGAAAGAAGGCAAAAUGACUUCUGAGACCUCUUUUUUCCCCUCCCGCUUCUUCUUUGUCUCUGGAUGUGUGGUGGCCAUCAUGUGCUCAGGCCCCACCCCCGGCACUAUCUUCCUCUCUUCCCUUCCGCAAAAACCUGCCCCUUUAAAAUAAGACUCUCUGAGGAUUCAAAUGCUAAACCCCUGAUUGCUAUCUCUAAAUUAACUGGAGAAAAUAAACAACUAUAAGGAAAAUUUAAAUAGAAAUUACCCUAGACUUUUGAUAAUAGACAAAUAAAUCCCAAAACUCCUAGGAGAAAAUUUGCCUUCUUUUUCUGUCUGUGUGCUGAUGCUUCUUGGUGAGUUACCCAUCCUGCUCAAAAGGGAGAAAUAAUUCUAGAAUUUGACAGCAUUCAAAUAAAAAUCUUUAGGGGAAAAAACCCGACUGUCUCAACAGGUAAUCUUAACUUAAUCUGUAUGCCAGAAACUCAGUUUGGAUCCAACUAUUCUUUUGAGUUUUAUGUUAUUUUACCUGAGACAUAGCUAAAGUUUUCUAAUAAAAGCUGUGAGAUCUCUGUGGCUAUCUGCAUGCUAUGUAUGUCUAUGUGCAUAUGCUAUAGAUAGGUUGUGUAUCACCUCUGGAUGGUAUUGCCAAAAUUAAUUUGUAAAAGAGCUUUAUUUAAUUGCCUUAAAGGAAGUCAAGCAUUCAUAUGAAUUGGGUAUUCACAAAACUCUCCAAAAUAUAAUAAACUAACUCAAACGUGUUUCAAGUUCAGAUGAUCUGGGAUAAUCUUUGGUAAAUAAAGCUAAUUUAACCUUGGUUUAAUUAAAACAGGUAUGUCUUCAAGAGUUACCAUCGUGUACUUGAAAACAGCUUCCCCAAAUCUUUUUGGUAACUUGAAACUUUAGAGUUUUGCUAAGUUAAACUACAUGAUGGGCAGUAGUUAAACAUCUAGAUCAUUUCCAAAUAAGAUAAAACAGUGAAAUAUUAUUAAAAAUAGGUCUGUCUGCUUUUGGCUUCUAAUUGCAGGAAAACUAAAGAUGUUUGGGCCUGUUGGCAAACAUGUUUUGUGCCACAUGGGAAAUUUUACCAUGAGAAAAAUGUACUUCUAGGAAUUAUGAAAUAUAUUUAUAAAUUUUCUAGUAACAGACUAUUCACAAUUGUUUGAAGCUACUAGAAAUAACAAGAGAUGACUCUGUAAGAAGGAAAGUAGGAUGUAUGUUUUUGCUAAGAAAAGGUAUGAGGAAUGGAAAUGUACUUUUGUUGAGAGAAAACAAAGGACAAAAUCUGAAUGUUUCUUUAAAAAGUUGUAGGUUUGUGGAAAGGAAUCUUGGGGAAGGAAUUGUAUGCAUGGUUAGGAUUGGCUACAUUGAAAGUAACCUGAUACAAAGUUAAAAUUCAUCUUUCUUUUUUAUUAAAAGGACAAAGUUUUCUUGGGCUCUUGGCCUACUUUUGAUAAGAUUUUGAAAGCUUUUUUACCUUUUAAAUAAUAUGCCUAGAAAACAGAGAUUUUGUGUUUUAUUAAGAGAAUUUCCUGUUUUUUUUAUCAAGUUUUUAAUUACUUAGGAAAACAACUUCUUCUUAAUAUUAAAAGAGCUCAGUUUGGCUUACAACUAUUUAACCUUUUGUAUUUGCCUUUGAAAUCUUUCAUUUAACUUGGGUCAAAUAGAUAUAACGUUAUCACUUGUAAUUCUAGUUACUAUCUAAAAGCGUAUGCCACAAAAAUACCCAGAUUUCCUUGUCAAGUGCAUUUACCCAUUGCCUUUUUAAAAUAGUCUUUUGUUGGGGCUGGCCCUGUGGCUGAGUGGUUAAGUUUGCGUGCUCCACUUUGGUGGCCCGAGGUUUGCAAGUUCGGAUCCUGGGCGCGGACCUACGUACUGCUCAUCAAUCCACACUGAGACAGUGUCCCACAUACAAAAUAGAGGAAGAUGGGCACAGAUAUUAGCUCAGCAACAAGCUUCCUCACACAAAAAAAAGGAAAAAAAAGUCUUUUGCCAUUUACAGACAGUUACUGUUUUCCUCUGAUACUUUUACAGAUGUUUCAUCUUCAAAGAGAUUCACGGGAAAGUCUUUAAUAAGUACUCUGGAAUACAGGUUUUGAUAACUUUAAGAUCAUAACACUGAACUGUGUGGAAAUUUCUGGAACUCGAGUGGAGGGCUGAUUGCUGUAACGUUUUGUUUUCCAGAUGUAAAGGACCCCUUUUUCCUCCCCUUUAGGCUAUGUGUAACUUACAGCAAUUUGGCAAAGUGUAUCUUUGCAACAGAGGUUGAAACAUUUAUCUUUUUCUCCCUACCUGAUCCUUCCAGCACUUGGACACUCUUAAGUAUUCUUUUCAUGACAAAUAUAUAUUUGCAUAAAAUCAUUGAGAAUCUGUUCUCCUUAUCACAGGACACAAUUGGAAGUAUUGGCUAAUAUUAUCAAGGCUUUGACCACAUUUUCAUGUUCAAGAGAGAGGUACAUAGACUCAAAAAUAACCACAUAGCUUUAAGGAUUGUCUAGAAAAAUCAGCCUAGUACCUUGCUUACAAGCUUUCAGCAAAGCAAUCUUAAAAAAACAAACAAAAAAAAAGGAGCUUGUAUGGUCAAUCACCCUUUCUAGCUGCAGUUAUCAGAACAAGUUUAAUACAAACAAAUUAGUUUUAACUAUGAUUAUGUUUAAUAAAAUUGGGGGUAAUCGUAGAGAGAAAUUACGUUUGUACCUUCUUAGGUAUUAAAUUCUAGUCCUAUUAAUUGUCUUUGAGGUUUUGUUAUAUAUGUGUAAGCUGGACUGGAUCCUAAAUUCUUCUAGUUUUCUUAAGUGUCUUGCUGCAACUCCACAAACUAACAUUUCCAAUUUUGCUGCCCUUGAGAUCUCCUUGGAGGGUACUAUGCCAGGUCCUGCUCACUACCAGAUGGCAGCCAGACUUCAGGGACUCGAGCCUUGGGUGCACAUCUCACAGCUGAAGAAGGCUCCUCCUGACAUCCAGUCCUGUACAAACACUGGGGACCUCAAAUCAAAUUGACUAGGAAGAGAAGCAGCCGACACCUGAGGCAAUGGCUUCCCCCAGCUGACCAGACCAGGCCUGUACACCCUCUUCCCACUGUUGUUUCUUACUUUAUUUUCUCCCCCUCCUUCCUGGAAGGACAAUGCCCUUGUCUGCAUUUUUCCAAUCCCUUGCGAAAGAGGGAACCUCUUCGAUUGCUGGAUUUGCCAUCAGAAACCUCGGUCUGUCCAAGACAGUAAUGACCCCAGUUCACCCUGUAAGCAAUUUCACUGGGGUUCCAGAUGCGGUUGUUUGUCUAAAUUGAGCUGCUGGUCCAUUUUACUGACUGAGAGUGCUAAGCCUGCCUAAACUUGUUCCUUGCUUUAAUUUGACCCUGCCUUGUGAGGGGAAAACAAGGCCUCCCAAAUAUUUGUAUGAAAAAUUCUGUGGGGCCGUCAUUGUAAAUCAGGCAGGCCCUCUGUAAAUUUCUUGAUAUACCCAUAUAUUUAAGUAGCCUUCCAGUGUGUAACAACAUAAUGUCUGAACCUUGGUUAGAUAAUGUUAACACCUCUGUACCAAUGAAUGAGUCCAUAGAUACCCCCACUUACGCAGAAGCCUUAUGUACACCCCCGAUUAUACCUUCAACUGUGGACGUUUCAGGCUUGGGCAACCCAUUGCCUUGACAGCUGGAGAUUACAAGGACAGUGUGCCCCGCCAUAGUCACUGUUCUGUUCUCUCUGCAUAACCAAACAGAGAGCUCUCAUAGGUCUUUCCCCUUGAAUCUCCAUAGUCGCUCUAAACAAGAACUCCCAGGAGGUGUACGUGACUCGGUUUCCCUCCGUGGCAAGAGCUUUCUUCCCAUGCGUUGGAGUGAGUGCCAAUGAACAAAUGACCAGGAAUCUCUCCCUGACACUGAACGAGUUGGCUGACUCCAAAGCCAAAGCAGUUUCAGCUCAGCAACAGUCACUUAAGUCCUUGGUCAAGGUAGUUUUGGGUAAUCAUAUAGCCCUUGAUGAUCUCCUGAGCAGGAGGCGUCUGUGCAGUGGUGAACACCUCCUGGUGCACACGGGUAAAUGCUGGGGAAGUAGAAACCCAAUUACACAAGAUUAGAGAGCAAGCAUGUUUCACCUAACCAUCCACUGUCUUGAUCUGUCCAGCUGGUGCCUUUAGGUUUGGGCUCCCGGUUUAGAGCCAUCCUGCAAACCCAGCUGACAGCAUUACUCUUAUCCUGCUCUGGACACUUGCUGUGAAGCUCUGUACCUAUUGCCUUGAACCUCUGUAGAAAUGACGUACCCAGUAAGGUGAUGCUGCUCAGCACUUUGAGAUGACCUCCAAUACCUAUGACCUCAAAGAGCUGUAGACCUUGAAUAGGAAAUGCCUGAGAGUUCUCCCUCCUGACCUUCCUCGUUACUCAAACAUGGCCUACAUGGCUUCCAACCGCUGUGCACCUCACAGCUCUGAGGCCAGGGGCAGGCAUUCCUGUGGUUUUAACUGGCACUCCCAACUUUUCAGGUGACAGAGAAUCUGAAGUGACGGGAGGGGUCAUGGCGUCUGCACAGGUGUUCUCCGGUGGGUCCUCACAUCGCCUUGGCGCAGGCCGGGGCUGGGAAGCGGUGGCCUCUGUGGCGUCUGCAUCUUAUAGUUGUCAGUGUACAAGUAUUUCAUUUCCUUGGUUAAGUGUCUUCCUAGGUAUUUUAUUCCUUUUGAUGCUAUUGUAAAUGGGAUUAUUUUCUUAAUUGCCUUUUCAGAUGGUUUGCUGUUGGUGUACAGAGAGGCAACAGAUUUUUAUAUGUUGAUUUUGUAUCCUGCUGCUUUAGUGAAUUUGUUUAUUAGAUCUAACAGUUUUUUUGUGGAGUCUUUAGGGUCUUCUACAUAUAAGAUCAUGUCAUCCGCAAACAGAUAGUUUUACUUCUUCCUUUCACUUUGGGUGCCUUUCAUUUCUUUUUCUUGCUUAAUUGUUCUGGCUUGGACUUCCAGUACUAAGCUGAACAGGACUGGAGAGCGUGGGCAUCCUUGCCUUCAUGACAUUGGUUUUCAUAAUGAUUCCUUGGAUUUGACACCAAAAGCAAAAGUAACAAAGGCAAAAAUAGACAAGUGGGUCUACACCAAACUAAAAAUCAUCUGCACACAGAGGAAACCAUCAACAGCCGUUUAAAUUAUAUUCCAGUUUGGCUCUCUUUUAGUAUUGUGCUUUGAUGAAUAUAAAUUGAUAGACUAUGAGAGAUAAGAAUGCCAACCUCAGGAGAUACACCAGAUUUUAGUGUCCCAACAUGGGCUUCAUGUAAUUUCCAUCUUUUUCAAAAAGAUGGAGCAAAUAACAGGUAGCAAUGGGCUUUCUGUAGACACAAAACACAAAGCCAAAAUGAUGUCCUUUUGCCCUCUUUUGGACAGUCUCCCCAGCGGCGUCCUGGACAUCAGAUUGCUGGGUCAAAAGCUGACAUUUUAUGGCUUUUGAGAUGUUUCUGUUAAGCCUUUUUCAGAUAAUGCCUUACAACUCUGACGAGUGUGGACUUGCUGGGUCACAUGGUAACUCUACGUGUAACUUCUGAGGAACCACGAAACCGGUUUCCGCAGCAGCUGCACCAUUUGACAUUCCCACCAGCAACGCGGAGGCUCCAGUUCCUCCCCCCCCCCACACUCCUUCUGUCCAUCUGUUGGUGAGAGCCGGUCCAGUGGGCGGGAAGUGGGGUCUCAUGGUUUCCGUCUGCAUUUCCCUGGGGGCCAGUGCCAUUGAGCACCUCCUCACGGGCUUGUCGGCCGUUUGUACAUCACGUUGGAGAAAUGUCCCUCCGACCUUUGUCCUCUUUCGAAUUGGGCUAUUUGUCGUUUGUUGGGGAGUUUUCUAUAUUCUGCACAGCAGGCCCUGAUCAGACAGGUGAUUGGCAGACAUCUUCGUUCCUCGUGCGGGCCGUCUCUGCACUCCUCGAUGGUGUCGUCUGAAGCACAGCAGUUUGCGUGUUGCUGGCGUCCCGUUGACUCAUCUGCUCUUGUGUUGCUCGUGCUUUUGGUGUCUCAGAGCACAGUCGGAUUCCCAGUGCGCCUGCGGGAAUCAUUGGCCGGCAGCCGCACGCCCCUUUGCUCAGUGCCACCCUGGGCCCGGAGCGCGCACACCGCGCUGCCGGUCAGCAGGUCAUCUGAGCACCUGGGUCCACCUUCUCCCUCCUCAUAAGCUGAAGAGAACUCUGAUCUCACGAGGACAGAAGUCCCAGGGGGCUGGGAGGGUAGCCCCUAAGCGGGAGUGCAAGAAAGUGUGAGUGUGAACCUGUGAUCCGCCAAGCCAGAUGCUGCCCGCCCUGCCUGCGGGUUUGCCCGCUCUCUGAUCAGACAGACCGGGGGGCUGGCAGCGGGGCACACAGGUUUGCUCUCUGAAGCUCUGAGUGCAGUGCUACAUUUGGAUUUUUUUGUCUUGCAUAUUAGACAUGAAGGAAGACCUGGAGACCCUGCUGGCCCUGGAAAGAGCAAAAAUAAUUGCCCAGUAUGAUCAGGGACGCCAGGCAGGGGUUCCAGUGGAUCCGCAGGAAGACCCCGAGCUCCCCCUUUCCAAGGUCACCGACCGCCUCGGUUUCCUGCAGUGAGUCACCUGGACGCCCGCUCUUUUCAUCUCAGGGAUGGUUUCUGUUGGUGGAAACACCUCUCUGGAGGCAGGACCCGUCUCCCCAGCUCAGAGCCUCGUCCCCUGGUGCCCACUGCAGUCCAGGGUCUACAGUCGGCUCCAGCUGAGAGACCAGAAGGGGCCUCAGAGUGGUGGGCAGGGGUGGAGCAGGGCCCUGGCCGGGCUGGGACACUCAGCAGUGUGGCCUCCACGCCUGCAUGAGGGAGGGCGUGAUGGUGUCCAGCGCCCACAGUCAGAGGGCACGUCCAGCCUGGCCAGCAGUGGCUCCACAGGGUGUGGCCACAGAGUGAGGGGCACCCAGUCCCACCAGUGGGAUGUUGUCCAUCAGGUCCCCAAGGGCACACGUGGUUCUAGUGUAGCAUCCACAUGGGCACAGGCACAAGGGGCAGUGAGGGAUGUGGCCUCUGGCGUUGACAGGAUAGGCAGGGGGCGCGUUCAGACAGGACCUGGCCUGGGAACCUCAUGGGAAGGGGACAGAGGCAGGCGGAGUUGGAAGGCAGCUGAAGAUGGCCUGAACCCCUGUCUGGGGCUGGGAGGAGAUUGGGGAUGGAGGCUGGGCCUUGGUGGCGAGAGAGGAGAGGAGACUGGAGGGAGAUGGGACUGGGUGGGGCAUGUGCCCCUGGACGGAGCCAGCCUGGGGCAGGACCGAAGGUGGUGAGCUCCUGGGAUGGGGCCUCCUCUCUGGGGGAGGACAGUCCAGAGCAGGGCGAGGCCUGGGGGAGGGACUCACCUGAGACGCCUGAGCCAGGGCCUCUGUCAGCCCCGAGUUCUCUGCGGUGCUCUCUGGAGACACCACCAGUCAGACCUGCAGGGGAGAAGCCAGCGAGGAGGUGCCUGAUCAGGAGGGGAGGGGAGGGAGGGUGUGGAGCAUGGAGUGGAGGAGCAGCCUGGAGGAGGAGGGAGGAGGGGAGGAGGCGUUGUGAGGGGGGAUGAGGAGGAGGCGCCGUGGGAGUGCAGAUGAAGGUGGAGGGCUCAGCAGGCCAUGUGGUGAGCCGCCUGGUAGGGACGGAGGCUGCAGACAUGGUGUGGGGCCAAUCUGGCUGCCCGCGGGCCUCAGUCACUGCCCAUCACCCAGUGGACAAGCAGCCGUUUGGACCCAUCAGGGGCGGGUCCUGCUCAGAGGUUCUGACAGCACAAGCAUUAAAAGAUGGGCCCGAGUAGCUGAAGUGACGACAAGAAACGGGUGACGUCAGGGAUAGGAGGGUGGGCGGCCAGGGGCAGGGAGAAGCAGCUGGACGCUGGACAGGCAGACCCUGCGGGGGGCGUGCGGACCUCAGUAGGAUGGCCACAGGGGGCACCCUGGCACGUUGGAUGGUUCUCAGGGCAACCCGACUCCAGGACAAUGGCAGGUCACCUCCUGUGGGGCUGCUGUCUGGGCGCAGCCCACCCCCCACGCCAGCACCGGCCCUUCUCAGGCACCGGAGGAGGGCACUGCCUCCAGCCACAGGCACCUGGCCGCCCUGCCCUCCUCUGCCCUGUGUCCGGGCUCCCUCCUAGGUCAGCCCUCCCUCCGCAGAAUCCAGGGCCCAGACUUGGGGGCUGGGGGCGGACCCUGUCCUUCUAUGGCCCCUGGCCUGGUGCAGGGCCUCAGGGCUCUGCUUCUCUUGCCUUCCAUUGAGGAGGAGCUGCCCAGCCUCACCACCCAGGAGGCGAAGCACAAACGCUGAGACAUCAGGCGAGCCGACAAGUGGCUGAAGAUGCUGAGGGACUGGGGGCAGUACCAGGGCAGCAAGAAGAUGCACAAGCGGGUCUUUAAGGGGAUCCCCCCGCAGGUGCGGGGUCGAGUGUGGUCGCUGCUGUUGGACCUGGAGAAGGUGAAGGUGGAGAAUAAAGGCAAAUACGAGAGAAUGAAGGAGCAGGCGAGGCUGUUUUCUCAGGACAUCAAACAGAUCAACCAGGAUGUGAACCGAACAUUCCGAAACCAUAUCAUGUUCUGGAACCGCGAUGGCAUCAAGCAGCAAGCCCUGUUCCAUGUGCUCGCAGCCUAUUCCGUUUACAACACCGAGGUGGGCUACUGCCAGGGCGUGAGCGAGGUCGCGGCCGUCCUGCUAAUGUUCCUGGGCGAGGAGGACGCCUUCUGGGCGCUGGCCCAGCUCAUGGUCAGCGAGAGGCAUGCCAUGCAUGGACGAGGAGCACAUGUGCACCGGCAUCUACACCGCCAAGUGCUUCCUGCAAUGCUUCAUAGACCGGACCCCCUUCUCACUCACCCUGAAGCUCUGGGACGCCUACAUCCUGAAGGGUGAGCAUGUGCUCAUGGCCAUGGCCUACACCAUGCUCAAGGUGCACAGGAGUAAAACACCUCCUGAAGCUGCCUCUGGAAGGCCUGCGGGAGUUUCUGCAGGACAGGCUGGGCAGCCCUGGGCCCUGGAGGAUAACGCAAUGCUCAGGCACCUCCAGGCCUUGAUGGUGGAGCUGCAGAGGAUGAAAUGUGAC